rnacentral:rRNA from 1 species
UUGUAGGCAAAUCCGCACAGCUUCUGAAACACGAAAGUAGCCAGAGUCGUCAGACAAAGGCAUUGACCCCAAGCAUACUGCCAAGAAAAUCUUCUAAGCUUCAGGUGAAUACAACCCGUACCGCAAACCGACACAGGUAGUCAAGUAGAAUAUACUAAGGCGCUCGAGUGAUCCGCGGCUAAGGAUCUAGGCAAAUUAACCCUGUAACUUCGGGAAAAAGGGUGCCCCCAGCAAUGGGGGCCGCAGAGAAAUGGCGGUGGCGACUGUUUAACAAAAACACAGGGCUUUGCAAAACUGAAAGGUGAAGUAUAAGGCCUGACACCUGCCCGGUGCCGGAAGGUUAAGAGGAGAGGUUAGCGUAAGCGAAGCUUUGAAUUGAAGCCCCGGUAAACGGCGGCCGUAACGAUAACGGUCCUAAGGUAGCGAAAUUCCUUGUCGGGUAGGUUCCGACCUGCACGAAUGGUGUAACGAUCUCCGCACUGUCUCAGCCGCGAGCUCGGUGAAAUUGUGGUAUCAGUGAAGACGCUGAUUACCCGCAACGGGACGGAAAGACCCCAUGCACCUUUACUAUAGUUUAACAUUGAUUUCGGGUAAGUGAUGUGUAGGAUAGGUGGGAGACUGUGAAGCGGGCACGCUAGUGUUUGUGGAGUCAACGUUGAAAUACCACCCUUUACUUACUUGGAGUCUAACUCCCAAUGGGAGGACAUUGUUUGAUGGGUAGUUUGACUGGGGUGGUCGCCUCCGAAAGGGUAUCGGAGGCUUUCAAAGGUUCCCUCAGUACGCUUGGUAACCGUACGUAGAGCGCAAUAGCAUAAGGGAGCUUGACUGUGAGACCGACAAGUCGAGCAGGUACGAAAGUAGGAUAUAGUGAUCCGGUGGUUCCGCAUGGAAGGGCCAUCGCUCAUAGGAUAAAAGGUACGCUGGAUAACAGGCUGAUCCUUCCCAAGAGCUCAUAUCGACGGGAGGGUUUGGCACCUUGAUGUCGGCUCGUCACAUCCUGGGGCUGGAGAAGGUCCCAAGGGUUCGGCUGUUCGCCGAUUAAAGUGGCACGCGAGCUGGGUUCAGAACGUCGUGAGACAGUUCGGUCCCUAUCUGUUGUGGGCGUUAGAGAAUUGAGAGGCGCUGACUCUAGUACGAGAGGACCGAGUCGGACAUACUGCUAGUGUACCAGUUGUUUCGCCAGAGGCAUCGCUGGGUAGCUAUGUGUGGAUGAGAUAAGCGCUGAAAGCAUCUAAGUGCGAAACUCACCUCAAGGUUAGUUCUCUUUAUAAGGGUCGUCAAAGACUAUGACGUUGAUAGGUUAUAGGUGUAAAGGCAGCAAUGUCAAAGCCGAGUAAUACU